rnacentral:rRNA from 1 species
ACGAACGCUGGCGGCGCGCCUAACACAUGCAAGUCGAACGGAGCUGAGAGAAGCUUGCUUUUCUUAGCUUAGUGGCGAACGGGUGAGUAACGCGUGAGUAACCUGCCCUGGAGUGGGGGACAACAGUUGGAAACGACUGCUAAUACCGCAUAAGCCCACGAUCCGGCAUCGGAUUGAGGGAAAAGGAUUUAUUCGCUUCAGGAUGGACUCGCGUCCAAUUAGCUAGUUGGUGAGGUAACGGCCCACCAAGGCGACGAUUGGUAGCCGGACUGAGAGGUUGAACGGCCACAUUGGGACUGAGACACGGCCCAGACUCCUACGGGAGGCAGCAGUGGGGGAUAUUGCACAAUGGGGGAAACCCUGAUGCAGCGACGCCGCGUGGAGGAAGAAGGUUUUCGGAUUGUAAACUCCUGUCGUUAGGGACGAUAAUGACGGUACCUAACAAGAAAGCACCGGCUAACUACGU